rnacentral:rRNA from 1 species
CGUGAAAAACUCCGGUGGUAUAAGAUGGACCCGCGUUGGAUUAGCUUGUUGGUGGGGUAACGGCCCACCAAGGCGACGAUCCAUAGCCGGCCUGAGAGGGUGAACGGCCACAUUGGGACUGAGACACGGCCCAGACUCCUACGGGAGGCAGCAGUGGGGAAUAUUGCACAAUGGGGGAAACCCUGAUGCAGCGACGCCGCGUGAAGGAAGAAGUAUCUCGGUAUGUAAACUUCUAUCAGCAGGGAAGAUAGUGACGGUACCUGACUAAGAAGCCCCGGCUAGCUACGUGCCAGCAGCCGCGGUAAUACGUAGGGGGCAAGCGUUAUCCGGAUUUACUGGGUGUAAAGGGAGCGUAGACGGUGUGGCAAGUCUGAUGUGAAAGGCAUGGGCUCAACCUGUGGACUGCAUUGGAAACUGUCAUACUUGAGUGCCGGAGGGGUAAGCGGAAUUCCUAGUGUAGCGGUGAAAUGCGUAGAUAUUAGGAGGAACACCAGUGGCGAAGGCGGCUUACUGGACGGUAACUGACGUUGAGGCUCGAAAGCGUGGGGAGCAAACAGGAUUAGAUACCCCGGUAGUCCACGCCGUAAACGAUGAAUACUAGGUGUCGGGGAGCAUGGCUCUUCGGUGCCGUCGCAAACGCAGUAAGUAUUCCACCUGGGGAG